rnacentral:tmRNA from 1 species
CCUCUUGAAUUCCUCGGCGCUGCCUUCUAUGUCUUAGUUGCUUCGCAAGAAGACUAUGGCGCUAAACCGUUUGUGCAAUAGAUGUACAGGACGCGGCUUCGAAGCCGCCGCCUCCACCACAAGUAGCCGAGUCAUCGACUGUUUGUGAUGGGGGCGACAUGGGAUCGACUGGCAUUGAAAGACAAAAACUGUGCUCGGCAUGAUACCGCCGUUAUCGGGUCAAACUAGUAGUUGCAAACGACAACUAUGCGGAAGCUCGUCUCGCUGCUUAAUCGCAGUGUGACACUUCAAAUCAAGCCCUAAGGGGUCGCACUCUUAGGCGGGGUUCGGAGGUACCUGGCAACAGAAACCUCCACC